rnacentral:siRNA from 1 species
AACGCAUCACCUAUCCAAGCCCAC